GACGAACGCUGGCGGCGUGCUUAACAUAUGCGAGUCGAACGGAGUGGCGAACGGGUGAGUAACACGUGGGUGACCUGCCCUGCACUUCGGGAUAAGCCUGGGAAACUGGGUCUAAUACCGGAUAGUGUGGGAUGGGCGCGCGGCCUAUCAGCUUGUUGGUGGGGUAAUGGCCUACCAGGGCGGCGACGGGUAGCCGGCCUGGGAGGGUGGACGGCCACAUGGGGACUGAGAGAGGGCGCAGAGGCCUACGGGAGGCAGCAGUGGGGAGUAUUGCACAAGGGGCGGAAGCCUGAUGCAGCGACGCCGCGUGGGGGAUGACGGCCGUGGGGUUAUAAACUCCGUUUACCAUCGACGCGGUAGAUGGAGAAGAAGCACCGGCUAACUACGUGCCAGCAGCCGCGGUAAUUC
rnacentral:rRNA from 1 species